rnacentral:rRNA from 1 species
UACGUAGGGGGCAAGCGUUUGUCCGGAUUUAUUGGGCGUAAAGAGCGUGUAGGCAGCUUAGCAAGUCGGAUGUGAAAGCCCUGGGCUCAACCUAGGAAGUGCAUUCGAAACUGCUGAGCUAGAGUUCUGGAGAGGGAAGGCGGAAUUCUCGGUGUAGAGGUGAAAUUCGUAGAUAUUCGCAAGAACACCAGUGGCGAAGGCGGCUCACUGGCCCGAUACUGACGCUGAGGCACGAAAGCGUGGGGAGCAAACAGGG